CGAACGCUGGCGGCAGGCCUAACACAUGCAAGUCGAACGAACUCUUCGGAGUUAGUGGCGGACGGGUGAGUAACACGUGGGAACGUGCCUUUUGGUUCGGAAUAACUCAGGGAAACUUGUGCUAAUACCGAAUGUGCCCUUCGGGGGAAAGAUUUAUCGCCAUUAGAGCGGCCCGCGUCUGAUUAGCUAGUUGGUGAGGUAACGGCUCACCAAGGCGACGAUCAGUAGCUGGUCUGAGAGGAUGACCAGCCACACUGGGACUGAGACACGGCCCAGACUCCUACGGGAGGCAGCAGUGGGGAAUCUUGCGCAAUGGGCGAAAGCCUGACGCAGCCAUGCCGCGUGAAUGAUGAAGGUCUUAGGAUUGUAAAAUUCUUUCACCGGGGACGAUAAUGACGGUACCCGGAGAAGAAGCCCCGGCUAACUUCGUG
rnacentral:rRNA from 1 species